rnacentral:rRNA from 1 species
UACGGAGGGUGCAAGCGUUAUCCGGAUUCACUGGGUUUAAAGGGUGCGUAGGCGGGCAGGUAAGUCAGUGGUGAAAUCUCCGGGCUUAACCCGGAAACUGCCGUUGAUACUAUCUGUCUUGAAUAUCGUGGAGGUAAGCGGAAUAUGUCAUGUAGCGGUGAAAUGCUUAGAUAUGACAUAGAACACCCAUUGCGAAGGCAGCUUACUACACGAUCAUUGACGCUGAGGCACGAAAGCAUGGGGAGCAAACAGG